rnacentral:rRNA from 1 species
AUUGAACGCUGGCGGCAGGCCUAACACAUGCAAGUCGAACGAGUGGCGGACGGGUGAGUAAUGUCUGGGAAACUGCCUGAUGGAGGGGGAUAACUACUGGAAACGGUAGCUAAUACCGCAUACUAUCGGAUGUGCCCAGAGUGGAUUAGCUAGUAGGUGGGGUAAAGGCUCACCUAGGCGACGAUCCCUAGCUGGUCUGAGAGGAUGAACAGCCAAACUGGGACUGAGACACGGCCCAGACUCCUACGGGAGGCAGCAGUGGGGAAUAGUGCACAAUGGGCGCAAGCCUGAUGCAGCCAUGCCGCGUGUAUGAAGAAGGCCUUCGGGUUGUAAAGUUCUUUCAGCGGGGAGGCGUUACCCGAAGAAGAAGCACCGGCUAACUCCGUGCCAGCAGCCGCGGUAAUUC